UAGGGAAUCUUCCACAAUGGGCGGAAAGCCUGAUGGAGCAACGCCGCGUGUGUGAUGAAGGGUUUCGGCUCGUAAAACACUGUUGUAAGAGAAGAAUGACAUUGAGAGUAACUGUUCAAUGUGUGACGGUAUCUUACCAGAAAGGAACGGCUAAAUACGUGCCAC
rnacentral:rRNA from 1 species